UGGAACAACUGUAACCAGAAUAACUUAAGGAAAGGGUAAAAAGCUAUGAGUAACUCCAUGUGUCAUGCCCAGCCCUGCCGCUGCUCGCCACCUCCAACCGAGCGCAUGGCCGAACGUCACUGCUGCUCAAAGGAAUGAACCACAGCUUGACCUCCAACCUGCAGAAAUACUCCGAGGAACAUCUCCCCAGACGAAACGACAAUUAAAACCAGAACCAGCGCAUACGCACGUUCCCUGCGCGGACAGAUGCUGGAGGUUUUUUCCGUGCCAGCCGUCCCGAGGCAACGCAGUGCGCAGCGCUAUGACUUGUAGCUGCAAAAAUGUGAGAAAUGGCCAAGUUUCCAGAAUGCAUCACAAACCAAACCGAAGCCUCCUCUGCAGCCUUACGGUUCUCUCUUGCCUUUUCUCUCACAAAUCAUUGCAUUUUAGUGCGUUUAGUCAUCUUCCUAAAUUCGGCUGCGAAUCGGACCGCUCUUAACCAAGCGCUGGGAAGUUCUUCCCCUGCACCAUGCAGGCACAACCAGGGACCUUCUGAAAGGAAAACCAGGACAUAAGCAGGUAUUCCCCUUAUGAGGGCUAUUCCAGGCCGUAAAAAGAUGAUCAGUGAGUAUUUUCACAUGCUCUGCAUGAUGCCACCAACUAACAAUGAAGAGCACUUGUGACCUCAGAUCAACAAAAGCUCUCAAAGCAUCUUUUUUUUUGACCCAGAUUAGGCACGGCAUGAAUAAAUCCAGCCAACCCCAUGAUAAUUUAAGCAUAUGUCUAAAAUGAAAUACAAGAUUGAAUGUUCUUCUGGCUCAGGGCAUACUUUAAACCCCUUUCAUUAUAUGGUUUCCAGUGCAAGACAAAAUCACAACGCCGAAAAAAAAGGAGUAGACUGGAAGAGAACCAGGCUACAAAUCACAAAUUAUUUCACUGUCAGCGUCUUAUCUUUAAACCAUUCUUGCAGGGAAAGAACAGCAGGAAAGAGGCUCAAAAAUUAUUUCAAAGACACUACUGCACUGGCUGUCUGCUAGCAGAUUAAUCAUCCAUUGCCCGCUUAACAUAAAUGUAAUUGUUUUGGAAUAUUGCAAAAUUACAAGAGCGUAUAGUGACUCAAGUCGAAUCUGGCUCUUCAUUUUACAUCUGUUUUAGACUUGUUAUCUCUGCUGCAGAAAGGACCAACUUCAAGGAAAAAAAUGUCACGCAGCUGAAAGUUUAUUGAUUACCCAGACAACAACUCCGGCCCAGCCACUGCAAAUCUCUCCACGGGAUGGUAUUCACAGAAACUGCUUCUAAUGAGGAAACCUUAAGGCAAGAAAGGAAAACCUGAGGGCAGAUCAGAGGCACCAUCCUGGACCUGCAGGCCGGCCCCCUUCCAGCUCUCUGCCCCGAUGCUUCAUCCCAGACCGCAACCACAUCCCGCCAAGGGGCCAGCAAGCGCCGUUGUUUUCCCUGGCACUCGCACCCCACCAGUGUCCGCCUCGAGCCCCACCUUGGAAAGGGCACGGCAAUCCUACAGCUGAAAUAACCACGGCCAGGAAACUUGCAAAAAUAGGAUUUGAGUCCUCAGACCAGCGAGCUUUUCAAGGCUGUAACACAGAGGAUGCCCAGAGAAAGUGGGAAACAGCCACAAUUUCCUCAUCACCCCUGCAGGCUCCCUCCUCUACCGUCCUGGUGCUCCAGAUUGCGGACGUCCAAGUGAUGAAGGAGGUCCUGGUGAUGGAGGAGGUCUCGGUGAGGGAGAUCUCACAUGCCAACAGGAGAGGGGUCAGCCCAGCCAGGACAUGGGGAGGUGCCCAUGGUCCUGCACUCCUAUAUGUGCGGGAGUAUUCCCAAAACCCCCUGAGCACCAACUGCAAGAGUACUCACUGAUUUCCAUGACAAGCCAUAGGUGGUCCUGAGGCACCUCCAUGAGCCCUCAAUGCUUCAUGAGAUCUCCCGCUCGAUGGGAGCCACCUUCCCUUGGAAACAAAGCUUGCACAGGUUUCAGCUCGUUUCCAGUUUAAAAAUAAAAUAUUUCUCAAAGUUCAAUAGCAGAGAUCUUUGGCUGCAAAAAAAUUCAAUUCCCUACUUUAGGAUUCAAGUCCUGACAUCCCAGCAGUACAUACUGAUGCUGCUCCAGAGCAUGGAGCCCUGAUUCGGACCCAUGCCCGUGCAAGCAACAGGCAGCUUUGUCUGCGCCUCACCCCAUCCCACACCCAUCCUCCCACUCCUGCACACAUCUCUGCUCCCCUUUUGCUGCCACCCCAUAGAAAAGCGUGUGGCUUUAGCCACCAAGUCCAUGCCCUGACUGGCGAAGAAGACACCCGUGCAGAGGACACCCAGUGGCACCACCACACUGCCACCCCAGCUGCCACCCAGGACCAGAGCUACUCUCACUGCAUCAUCACACCUUCAGCCUCCUGGCACAGCCGCCAGGGCCACAAGGGUGCCAAUUCUGCCGUCCUGCCCUCAGCGGCCCCAAUUCGGGCACAUCUCCCAUCACGUGCAGUUUCUGCUGGCCAGGGCAGCCAGCGCCCCUGUGCCCGGAGCUGCUUAUCUGCUUACAGGCAGCACUACAGCUAAGUAGCUUGCUCCAUCAGAGCCCGCAGUACCCCAUCAGGAGAGCACCGAAGCGUGUGUUGUCCCCACCCUGGAUGAGGCCACCGCACUCAAGCACCCAGCUGAAGAUGAGGGUGCACCUUGGGCCUCCCAACACCCACCCGAGUGGCUCCUGUGGG